AUUCAUGGAAUCACAGGACCUCAGAGCAAAAAGGGACCUCAGAGACUUCCUAGUCCAAUCUACACCUGAGCAAAAAUCUGCUUUCCAAUCUACCCAGCAAGGACUAUCCAACCUUGACUUGAAGACCUAAAGUGAGAGGGAACCUGCUCCCUGUGGGCGCAGUGCCUUCCACCUUUGGACAAUUCUCUAAUUGAGGGCUGCCAUACUGAAUUCCAGACACUAUGCCUGGUUCUUUCUAUGCUCCUGGCUGCCACCUGUUGGAAAUGUUAAUGCUUGCAUAAGAAGCUAAGCCUCCUUAAGUCACUGAUUGUCAUCAGAAAACAGCAUCCCAUAGACACAGCCUGAGUACCUUGACCUCACCUCCUGUAAGACAUGAAAAGGUAGCAUUGAAGAGUUAUUUUGCAAUUCUCAGUGAGAUAAUUGGAUUAGAGAUGAAAAACUGAAAGGAACCUUGGGCAUCUUUAAGUCCAACACCUUCAUCUUACGACUGAAGAAACUGAAUCCUUAAGACUCACGCAAGGUCACACAGCUAGAAAUGGGAUCUCGUAGAUCAUUUUACUUUUGUGGUGAGGAGAUUGGGGUUAAGUGACUUGCCCAGAGUCACACAGCUAGUGAAUGU